rnacentral:tRNA from 1 species
GGGGGUGUAGCUCAGCUGGGAGAGCGCUUGCAUGGCAUGCAAGAGGUCGUGAGUUCGAGCCUCAUCAUCUCCA